GCUCGGAGUGUGCGGGGCUCGGGCUGUGCGGGGUUCGGGGGUCCCGCAGGGUUUGGGGUCCCGCAGGGCUCGGGGGUCCCGCCGGGUCCCGGGUCGGUCCGGCCGGUGUGCGGGUCCCUCCGGCGGCGGGGGUCGCUGGGACCGGGCCCCGCGGGUUGUGGGCGGAUAUAGGGGCGGAUAUAGGGGCGGAUAUCGGGGCCGCGCUGCCCCCUCCCCCGAGCGCUGGCUCCUCGCAGCCCGCCCCCGGCCCCGCUCAGCGCAUCCCGGCCGGACCGGGCCGGGCCGGGCCGGGGUCCCGUGCGCUGCUCGCACAGCGCUGCAGUCCCCGCGGGGCAGUAGGGACAGUAAGGACAGUAAGGACAUCAUCAUCAUCAUCAUCCCUCCCGGCCUCCAGGUGCAUCCCAAGCGGUGCUCAGUGUCCCCAUCCCGCAGAGCCGCUCGGAGGAGUGGGGGAGGCUCAGGGCUCCCGAGCGGGAGGAGCGCGUCCCUUCGGGGUGACAGACCGGGCAGGGACCGGGCAGGAACCGAGCAGGGACAGGGACAGGGACAGGGACAGGGCAGGGACCGGGCAGGGACAAGGAUCGGGCAGGGAUCGAGCAGGGACCGGGCAGGAACCGGGCAGGGUCAGGACAGGGACCAACCGAGCAGGGACAGGGACAGAGCAGGGACCGGGCAGGGACUGGGCAGGGACAGGACAGGGACAGGGACAGGGCAGGGACAGGACAGGAACCGGGCAGGGAUGGAGCAGGGACCGGGCAGGGACUGGGCAGGGAUCGGGCAGGGACAGGGAUCGAGCAGGGACCGGGCAGGAACCGGGCAGGGACAAGGAUCGGGCAGGGACCGGGCAAGGAUCGGGCAGGGACAAGGAUCGGGCAGGGACAGGGCAGGGACAGGACAGGGACCCCCCCCCCCCCCCCCCCCCCCCCCCCCCCCCCCCCCCCCCCCCCCCCCCCCCCCCCCCCCCCCCCCCGGGCAGGGACCGGGCAGGGACCGGGCAGGAACAAGGAUCGGGCAGGGACAGGACAGGGACCGGGCAGGGACCGGGCAGGGAUCGAGCAGGGACGGCAGGGACAGGGCAGGGACAAGGAUCGGGCAGGGACAAGGAUCGGGCAGGGACAGGACAGGGACCGGGCAGGGACCGGGCGAGAGCCGUGAUUGCACCGGGGCACCCGGCAGGGAAGCAGGCUGUGUUUGAUCCGGGAUUUUUUCCCAGGGCAAGGCAAUGGGCUGACACACUUAAACACUUAAACAGCCUGGAAGGAGGAACCCGCAGCUGUGCCCGGGGCUCCAGGGCUGCUUCAGGAACUCACUCAGUGCUCAUCUGCCAGGUCUGUGCUGGGUCCAUGCCCUCAUGUGACAGCAAAAACCUGAUGUGAUACAGCAGUCUGUACCAAUAUAAUCCAG
rnacentral:lncRNA from 12 species